rnacentral:lncRNA from 1 species
UCUCUCUAUCUUAAUCUUCUUCAUAUCUUCAAGUCUUGUUCUUGAAGAUUCAACAUCCUUUCUAGUAAACUUCAAGAUAGUGUGAAGAUCUAAGGUUGUUCCCAAGGUGUUGUCAAGUGAAUACAAGCUUCCUAUCAUCCCAUAACUUACUUGAAUCUUGAAGUGUUUCAUGUUCUUGAAUGAUGGAAAAAAUGCAAGUGAAGUUGCUUAGUGUUGAUUGCGAAUAGGAAGCAUGCUCACUUAGGACCGGACGAGGCCUUAGUGAUUUAAUAAUGAUAUUAGUCUAUGUUUGAUUUGCUUGUUUAACUUUAAAACAAUGUUUAAUAUUUAAUGAAAUGAAACUCUUCGUAUCCAUGGUUUGAAACAAUAAUUCUGUUACAACACUCCCCGGCGU